CAUUUGGGUGUGGUCUAAGGGUUCUACUUCUUCCCUAGUAACCGUAGGUUGUAUCCUAAUUUAUUUACCAAACCUGUUUUUUUUUUUUCCUCAGAGAUGCACAACUUUGCCUCUGUCCUAUGUGGAAAUUUCACGAAUAACUCAGUCUGACCCUGGACUCUUUGUUCUGUUCCAUUGGUCAACCUUUCUAUCCACACACAAGAACACGUUGUCUUUGUCCCUUUGCGAUAAGUUGGUGCCUGGUAGGAGGGAGGUAGGAAGAUGCUGUCUUCCAACCUCUUCAGGAGUUCUUCACUAUUCUUGGUCAUUUAGAUUCUACUGAAAUUUUGGAAUUAUUUUGUCAAUUACCUCAAAAAUCUCUGUUGGGAUUGUAGUGGAAUUGUCUUGACUCCAUUGUCCUGAAAUCUACUAAGGUUACUGCACAGCCGAAAAAUAAACGAUGCUGAGUCCAUAAACCAA
rnacentral:lncRNA from 1 species